ACACACACACACACACACACACACACACACACACCACUUUAAAUUGUUCUCCAAGAUGUGAAAGGGAGGAAGAAGGAAAACCGAGACAUUCUGGGAUCAAAUCAGAAACCGAGACAGCUUCUGUAAUUCCGGGACUGUCCCUGGAAAAUAGGGACACUUGGAGGGUAUGUAUCAUGCAGUGUGCACAUGCCUUUAUUGUGUAUUCUGCUCUGGUUGUUUUCAUUUCCUCCAUUUGUUUGUUUAGGAUGAUAUUGUUUUAUUGUAUUUGGGCGCAUGGUUAGUUUAUAUCAUACUUUUUAUUCCUGGCAUUUGUCGGGGCUGGAGUCAGAUGCAGGUCAGCAAUAAAGGAAGCAGAUCUCAGUAGUUAGUGAAGUUAACUCUUCACUAGAGUUCAUUCAAGGAAACAAACAAACAGCUCGGCUUAGUGGUCUCAGCAACACUUCCCAGUAGGUCUUGCCCCUAUGGAGCAGUUGCCGGAACUGAAGGUCCCUCCCUUCUGCCCUCUCUAAGGCUCCUCUUUUCCCGGAUGUUUCCCAAGCAGUUUCAAACAAUGUCUGCACACCUCUAGCCUCUGUUCUACUCUCCUCGUUAUUCUGUUCCUGGAGACGGGGCUGUGGAGCUUGUCACAGCAGGAGAGGGAGACAGCAGUCCCUUGAACCCCUCCUCUGCUUUAGCCUCGGAGUCUGAACUGCUCCCUGUCACAUGCUCUUCCUGCUCACUAAACCCUGCUGCCCCUCCAGCAUCCAGCACCUCCUCCCCCCACUCUUCUCCCUCUGACCUCUCCUUAGUGCUCCACCACCAAUCCCCUGGCUUUGAGACUUCCUCCUCUGGGGUUACCCUUGGGCUGGGGCAAAACUAGCCUUUGUUUCACCUGGGUCAAAGACACCCCCAUGCACAUUUGCGUACACAAACGAACAGGCUGGGAGCCUCAAUGACGCCCCUCUGGAGGCUUCAUCUGGGGUAUUAAAAAAACCGCCUAGCGCUCCCCCUGUAGCUACGGCACUGCCUUGGGGGUUCCCUGGCUGGUACCUCCAACCACUCCUCUUCAUCCAUUCAGUUCCUGACAGUAUCUGGAGAUGAAGGAUGAUUUACGUGUUGUGUAUUCAGUUUCAUAUUGUAAAUUUAAAGUUGUGUUGUAUAUGUAAACGCAAUAUGUAAGAGGUUGUAACGCAGGGGUAGAGCACGUGCAAAAGUUCCCAUGUUCUUACUUUGUUUUUUUUUAGACUUAAGUACAGUGGAACCUCGGUUGUCAAACGUAAUUCAUUCCGGAAGACCGUUUGACUUCUGAAAUGUUCGACAACCGAGGCUCAAUGGAUGGCUGGCAAAUUCCAUUGAGAAAAUGGAGAAACGCUCUUUGGAAGCCGUUCAACUUCCGAGGCGCAUUCGAAAACAAGCAAUUUCUUCCAGGUUUUCGGCAUACGAAAACUGAAAUGUAUGGCUUCCCAGACGCUCAUAAACCGAG